rnacentral:rRNA from 1 species
UACGGGGGGAGCAAGCGUUGUUCGGAUUUACUGGGCGUAAAGGGCGCGUAGGCGGCGCAACAAGUCACUUGUGAAAUCUCCGGGCUUAACUCGGAGCGGCCAAGUGAUACUGUCGUGCUAGAGUGCGGAAGGGGCAACUGGAAUUCUCGGUGUAGCGGUGAAAUGCGUAGAUAUCAGCAGGAACACCCGUGGCGAAGGCGGCCCCCUGGGCCGUACCUGACGCUGAGGCGCGAAGGCUAGGGGAGCGAACGGG